CUCUCCCCAGGCUUGUCAGUUGGCAUAAUGAAGCUCAACCUAGUAAUUUAGGUUUGAGCCCUGAAACCUUAUAGACAAGGUUAGCACUUUUAGAAGAAUUGCAUCUUUUGACAUCUGACUUGGAAGGACUAUGUUUAAAGAAGUGAAAUUAGAGCCCACACCUCAAUUUUGAUGGUAAAAGCUGACAUAUAGAGAAGUAGUUGCAGCUGCAGGCCACUUCCCGCAGAAUGGGAACAUCAGAAGGUCACGUCUGCAGCUCCCUGCUCUACCGGGAACACAAAGAAGAGAUUCUUUUGAGCCUGGUUUUUGCACUGGGCAAAAAGACGACGGGGAAAAUGAGUUAAUGGUGUCAAGGAAGAAGCAGCAGAGAGGAGCGUGACGAUGGUGCCAGCACAAGCUGUGGAAAAGAACGCAGUCAGGAGAUGGAGCAGGGCUCACCGCACUGAAGGAAACGAGUCUGUGGAGAACAGUGUGUUAAAACAGAGAGAGAAGGACAGGUGUGGGAACACAGCACUGAAAACAUACGCAUGUGUUAGCCUCCUAACAAGGAGAAUGGAGUUGGGCACCAGCAGGAGAUGUUCAGGUUAGAAGUCAAGGGCAUUCUUCAUGGUAGAAGACCACAGCGAUGGAUUGAAAGGACACAUGCUCUGAAGAAAAGCCAGAUUCACACCAGUUUUCCCUCCACUCUCCUAGUUAAUCUAUGAAUUCCAGAUGCAGUUUCGCUUUUCAAGGGCUCCUGGGUUACGGCGUCUCUUUCCCAGAGGAGAGCCAUUUAAAAUCUCCAGCUUCUUGAUAACUAUAUGAAAAUGAGAGUGGGAGCAACAGCUGACAUACUCUCACACGCGUGGUCACUGGGUUCACUAUGGCUACCCAGUUAGCUCUGGUCAGCGUUCUUCGAUGCUGACCCUACGACACCUGCACUCGCUUGGACAGCGCGUACAGACUCAGUUGUCCAAAUCCCAUCUCUUCUGCUCCAUCCGCGUUCAGUGCUGCCUGACCUAAAAUGCCAGCUGCGGGCUACAGAAGCCAGUGCGCAUCUCCUGUGUUUCCCCAUACAUUCCUUUAUUUCUGACCACACACAUAGACCCGUCUAUACCCUG